GUCCUGGCUGUAAACUAUGGACACUAGGUGUGGGGAGGUUCUCCUCCGUGCCGAAGGUAACCAUUAAGUGUCCCGCCUGGGAACUACGGCCGCAAGGUUGAAACUCAAAGAAAUUUACGGGGGCCCGCACAAGCGGUGGAGCAUGUGGCUCAAUUCGACGCAACGCGAGGAACCUUACCAGGGUUUGACAUGUUUUGGACUGUCCGGGAAACCGGAUUUUCUCGCAAGAGACCGAUACACAGGUGCUGCAUGGCUGUCGU
rnacentral:rRNA from 1 species